CUAAAAGUGUUGAUAAGGACAUGAGCAUGAUGAACGGACUUCAUAGAGAGGGAGGCCAAGGCUGUAAGCUUCCUAAGUGCCGCAUAAUGUUUACCACCUUUGAACUCUGCGUGCGAACCUUUAAGUAGUGUGCAGCGGCUCGUCCCCGUUAACGGAUUUGAAUGAGCUACAGGAUACCUGUAGGAAUUUGGGUGGAACCACGAGUAUAACGCUCGUCCCUUCG
rnacentral:ncRNA from 1 species